UAAGCAUAUCAAUAAGCGGAGGAAAAGAAACCAACAGGGAUUGCCUCAGUAACGGCGAGUGAAGCGGCAAAAGCUCAAAUUUGAAAUCUGGCCCCGUCAGGGGUCCGAGUUGUAAUUUGGAGAGGAUACUUCGGGUGUGGCCGUGGCUUAAGUCCCUUGGAACAGGGCGUCAUAGAGGGUGAGAAUCCCGUCUUGAGUCACCGGUCCACGCCCAUGCGAAGUUCCUUCGACGAGUCGAGUUGUUUGGGAAUGCAGCUCUAAGUGGGUGGUAAAUUUCAUCUAAAGCUAAAUAUUGGCUGGAGACCGAUAGCGCACAAGUAGAGUGAUCGAAAGGUUAAAAGCACCUUGAAAAGGGAGUUAAAUAGCACGUGAAAUUGUUGAAAGGGAAGCGCUUGCAACCAGACUCGAGCGCAGGGUUCAGCGGGCAUGCGUGCCCGUGUACUCUCUGCGCUCGGGCCAGCAUCAGUUUCGGCGGUUGGUUAAAGGCCUCUGGAAUGUAUCGUCCUCCGGGACGUCUUAUAGCCAGGGGUGCAAUGCGGCCAGCCGGGACUGAGGAACGCGCUUCGGCACGGAUGCUGGCAUAAUGGUUGUAAGCGGCCCGUCUUGAAACACGGACCAAGGAGUCUAACAUCCACGCGAGUGUUCGGGUGUCAAACCCGUGCGCGCAGUGAAAGCGAACGGAGGUGGGAGCCCAUCAGGGUGCACCAUCGACCGAUCCUGAAGUCUUCGGAUGGAUUUGAGUAAGAGCGUGGCUGUUGGGACCCGAAAGAUGGUGAACUAUGCCUGAAUAGGGUGAAGCCAGAGGAAACUCUGGUGGAGGCUCGCAGCGGUUCUGACGUGCAAAUCGAUCGUCAAAUUUGGGGUAUAGGGGGCGAAAGACUAAUCGAACCAUCUGGUAGCUGGGUUCCUGCCGAAGUUUCCCUCAGGAUAGCAGUAACGUUUUUCAGUUUUAUGAGGGUAAAGCGAA
rnacentral:rRNA from 1 species